rnacentral:rRNA from 1 species
AUACGAAAGGUGCAAGCGUUGUUCGGAUUUACUGGGCGUAAAGAGAUCGUAGGUGGUUUAUUAAGUCGGAUGUGAAAUCCCGGGGCUCAACCCCGGAACUGCAUUCGAUACUGGUAGACUAGAGUUUGGGAGGGGUAAGCGGAAUUCCGUGUGUAGCAGUGAAAUGCGUAGAUAUACGGAGGAACACCUGAGGCGAAGGCGGCUUACUGGACCAAUACUGACGCUGAGGAUCGAAAGCGUGGGUAGCAAACAGGAUUAGAAACCCUAGUAGUCC